GCUGUUGUGAGCACCGCCACCAUGAAGGUGGGUGCUCAGCGUCUGCUCACUCUUUGGGUCCACCCCUGGGGGUGCGAGUAUCCCAGGGCCUCUGGAAGCGCUGCAUCUCACUCUCAGGGGGGCACACAUGGCUGGUCGGAGCACGCUGUGGCCGUCCCCCUGCGCUCCUUCCUGCUUGUACGAUGCUGCUGAGAUGGCAGUGCCCUGGCAGCCGCUGGCUUCUGCCUCCUAGGACAGACUUGCUGCUAGGACUGCGUGGUGGGAAGACAGCAGGAGCCUGGAUCCCUGGCUCUGCGCUGGGGCCUCUGCACACCAGCCUCAGGGGACCCUGCAUCCUGACGUGCCUGCACAAGUGUGAUCGAGAAUUAAUUCCAUCCUGUUUAAGCCAUUGCUGCUGGGGUAUUCCUCACACACACCCCCCUCAAAAAUCAUUCCUAUGUCUUGAGAAACUUAGAAUUAGACUUUUUUAUUGUAGAAAAGCAGGAGACAUGAAUGAAAGUGGCUGUCGUCUCACCGGGAGAUGCACCAUGCCUGGCGCUUUUUGGUCAGCCAUCCACGGACUCCACGCACACCCUGACUCCUGCUUGCAAAUCGUGUGGUCAUGUUAAUAGUCCAGUAUUUCCGUGCAUUUCCCACGACAUUCAUCUUCCUCACAUCCAGGAUGUUAAUGGCCUAAUAAUGUCCCAGGCGAGGCCGUGCCUUUCCUAGUGCAGUGCUGGAGGUCCUUGACCAGCACCACCUCUACGACCACCUUGUCGAUGCCUCCGCGGGGAUGAUGUCAGCGGAGAGAUCGCCACUCGAAGCUCGGGGAGAAUUUGGAGGCCAGGCUGCCUCCAGAGGGGCUCCCACCUCCCCUGGGCAGCUCUGCUCAGCCGCCCUGUCCACGCCGGCUUCCGCUCUGACAUCACCUUCUGCGGCCACCGCUUUGGUGGAGAGCGGGUGCCCUGUCCUCCUUCCCCUGCGUUUCUUUCUUUGUAACUAAGUAGAUGAACAGUUUUCAGACCCGGUGUUAACCUUUUCUUUGGGUUUUGGUGUUCUGUUAGGUUUUGAGUUCGCUAGAUGUUCAUGGUUAACAAACUUUGACAGGACAGUCACAGGUGUUCACCACACCUGAACUUGUUUGGUAUUAAUUUAAUUUGGCUUAUUUAAAAAUACCUGUGUUUGUGUUUCUCAUUGACAAAGGGACGCAGGCCCAGGGGAGCAGGGGCAGUGCUUCAGUUAGAAGUGGCAGGCAGAAGGUAGCGGCUUUUCCAAUGGGAAGCGGGGGUGAGGGGCCAUACGCCCUUGUGAAUCCCUGCAGCUGGCGGGGAGAGGAGGCUCCCACGUUCGUGCAGGAUCUCAGUUAUGCAGUGACCCCCUUCAGCCCCUGCUGAAACCUCUUCAUUGUCACAGAAAGGAGGUUUGUCCACAGGGCUGCUCAUUUCAGCCCCCAGGACUGGCUGUCCUGGAACAAGGGAGGAACGGCCUUUAGGGAGGCCCUGGGGAACGCUAAGGCUGCUGGUGCGCAGAGCCCGUGGCUCCGACCCCAAGAAGGCCUCAAGAAGGAAAGUGAUCCUCAGGCUGGUGAGCGUGUGGGAGCGUGGACUCCGUGGGAGCAGAUGGCCGGGGCCCAGGUGGAGGCCUGCCAGUCCCUGUGUGCCAGCCCUGCCCCCACCCCCACCCCAGAGCAGCCUGAGUGGGUGGCAGGUCCUGGCGGUCCUGGGGCAUUCUGCCAAGGGCGCGGCUGGGGCGUCCAGGACUGGGCGCCUCCCACUCUGUGUCUCUGUGCUCUGGUCCUGCAGCCCUGCUGUGUGGGGAGAGGCAGCCCGCGCGGAUGUGCACGGCCGAGCUGUGCGCUGUGGCUGCAAGGCCCAGCCGCCCCCGUGCAGCCCUCCUGUGGCUGGCCACACAGGCUGGCACUGACCUGAUGGCCUCCUCUCUUCUCCCACCCCCUCCUCCUCUCCCCCCUUUCUCUCUCUGAUUGGACGUCUGUGUGCAAGAAAUUCCAGAUUCCACCUGCAGCCCACAGCCGGGCCCCCAGGGCGAGGCCGUAGAGUCGUGCAGGACUUGCACGCAUCUGGCGCUCCCCGCCCACCCUGGCUCCUCUCUGAGCGGUCCCAAAGCACACGACCAUCCCCACCGCUCCCUCUUCAGAGCCUCAGUCAGUGGCUUCCCGCUGUACCAAGAGUGAAAAAGCCUCCGCGGAGUCUGGCACCGACCAGUGCAAUGCGGCUCUUCUCCCAGGGCCUGCGAAUGCUGCACACGGGGCUGGGCAGAGGGGCCCUGCCUGCAUGGUGUCCCUUCUCCAGGACAGCCUUCUGGUGGGCCUUUCCAUUCUUUCACGCAUUUUAUUAUUAAAUAAAGUCAUCUAAAUCAA